UACAGGGGGUGCAAGCGUUGUUCGGAAUUACUGGGCGUAAAGGGCGUGUAGGCGGCUUCAUAAGUCAGGUGUGAAAUCCCGGGGCUCAACUCCGGAAGUGCAUUUGAAACUGUGAGGCUAGAGUGCUGUAGAGGAUGGCGGAAUACCCAGUGGAGAGGUGAAAUUCGUAGAUAUUGGGUAGAACACCGGUGGCGAAGGCGGCCAUCUGGGCAGCAACUGACGCUGAGGCGCGAGAGCGUGGGGAGCAAACAGG
rnacentral:rRNA from 1 species